UUGCUGUCGCGCCGGAGGGGGAAGGGGCUGAGGGCAGCCCGGGGAGUCGGGAAGCGAAAACAGCUACCUUUCUGACACGGGCAGGAGAAGCGUCUCUUGUUGCUCGCUUGGAGAGAGUGAGGGCCCCCGGUCGCUGAGGGCGGGAGGGUGAGGGUCCCCGUUCACUGGGGGUGCCCGUCGCUGAGGGCGGGAGGCCGAGGGCCCCUGUUCGCUGAGGGGCGCCCGUUGCUGAGGGAGGCUGAGGGCGCUCGGGUGUGGGCUGGUGGGACUGGGCCCCGGCCACCUUCCCGUCACACUCCACUUCGCCUUUGCAUGUGUGUGGUAAAAACCUUUCCCUGGGUCAGUCCGUGCUGCCUCAGCCAGGCCCCUCGCCUGCUGACAGUGAGGGCCGGCCUCCUGCGACCACAACGGCAGUUCUCGUGAAGGUGAAGAAACGCAAAGCCCACGCCCCUGUAUUUAGGCCAAUGAACAAGGAUAAUUACAAUGGAACCUGGAUUCUAGACAAGUGUCAAGGCUGUGGAAUAUCGUGUUCUGCUGUUGGAACAGUGUAUGAGGGGCAGUGGAGAAAUGACAUAUUCAAUGAGCAGGGUGCUAUAGUUAAUUGUUCUGGUGACAUCUGUGAUGGACUGUGGAUCAAUGGCUACCCUACUGAUCAGGAAUAAGCUAUAUAAUUCAUGUAUGCAGAGAAAAAAGACAAUGCUGAAGUUUCAGACAGGUCACCUGAAGUACUUGCAGCAGCCUCACACAUUGAUUUUCACCACCGUCUAGUAAUUCCUUCAAACCUACAAUCUUACAUAACAUCCAAAGAAUACAAGCAACAAAAGGAUCAGAAACUCAUAAAGAAUUCUAAGACGUUACAAGGCCAGUGUGUGCUUACGGUCCAUGAAGUGACAGUGUCCUAUUCUUGGGCCAGAAUCUCCCACCUGCCUUCAAAUUCCUGAAUUUUUCCAGAGAAAACAAAAACCAAGAACUUUUUUUUUUAAAGUCAUCAGCAAGUAAAAAGGAUGAAACCCUGCAGCCAGGGCUCUUGUCUAAGGCACACUGAAGUCAAUGGCAUUUUUCCCAUUGAAUGCAGUGGAAGCUGUAUUCGGUCUUUGCAUCCCAGUCACCCUUGUAAGGGUUUUUAUGCAGGAAUGGGGCUUCAGUCUUGAUCAUUUCAUGCAAUUCUCAUUCAUUCAUCUGAUCCAUCAUAAUCUUCUUUUCCUUGAAGUUAUGGACAAAAUUUCACACCAAGGUCCACUAGUUCUCUGUGAAGUCUCUGGUUUGAUGCAGCUGCUUUACACAUGACUCAGUUAACAGUGGUUCUUUGAGCCCUUAUUCUCAUGAGCUGAAUGAAGGAUAAAUGAGCUCAGUUGAAUUACCUAGAGAUGAUAGCCAUUUAUUCUUGAUAACUGGAAGAUAACUUACCUCUGUGAGGUUGUUAACUCUAUCAUCUCCCUGUAAGGAAGGUUUUGUAGUUCUAGAGGUGGAGAAACAGAAACUUGUUUAAAUAUACGAGCAAAGGGGGCAAGGUUUGGAAUGACAUCUGAUUGUGCUGCUUUUGCUGCAGGGAUAUAUUCUGCCUCCUUACUGAGAUGAGACUAUAUGACAAAAGUUUCAGAACACAAACCUCUCUUAUUUAUUGGCUUCCUAGUACUGAUAACCUUGUUAAUUUGUAUUUGAAAGUUAAAUAUAAGAUUGGACUACUUGGCUUGCCAAAUGGAAACCACCAUUAUUUAUUUUCUCAUCCUUUUCUGCUCCUAUACACAAAAUAAAAAGAGACACAUGUGCAACAGAGAAAAGGAGUAAAUAAUGUUCUGUAAUGGUCAGUGAUGAGGGAUAUGUGCUCAGAGGCUGGGAGACAGAUUGUUCCGGAAGCAUGAUAUGACACUGGUUAGUGUUUCUCUAUAAAGCAGUGCUUUUUUGUCUCAGUGGUAGCACAUGGGUGCUGUGGUUGCCAUGGUAAGGUGCAUGUUUUGUUAUGAGUGCUAUAAAUAGUCACAUCAUUGGCCAAAAGCGUAAGUGAAGAUCCUGCUCUGGUCAUGUGUAGUGUGUUUUGAUCAUGGGUCACAAAGAUUUUUGUGGUUAUUUACGUGGUAAAUUAAAUGGGCAUAAAGACAAACAUCUUUGUGUGUUUCUGUGAUGGAAGUUUCUGCCACAUAUAUAGUCAUUCUCUCAUAAUUUGUAAUUUCUUCUGAACUUCCAAUUGUACAUGUGAAUGGUAAUAAUUUUAAGUAUGACUGUGAAUGAGGUUUUGAUAUUGUCUUUCCAACAUUCUGUCUCAGAGACUGUAUCCCUGACCUAAGGAGAAUGAACUGCAGAGUAGAGGUACACAGGCCAGAACUGAAGCUUAGAGUGUAUGAUCUUUGUGCCAUCUGCUGCAGAUGUGCUGCUGUUGACUAAGGCCCUAUAUUUGAGAAGCAAAAGUGGUAGAAAAAGGUAAGAGAUAUCUCCUGUAUUGAGAUGGAAGAGCUUAA